rnacentral:rRNA from 1 species
UGCCAGCAGCCGCGGUAAUACGGAGGUUGCAAGCGUUGUUCGGAUUUACUGGGCGUAAAGGGAGCGCAGGCGGCCAGGUCAGUCGAAUGUGAAAGCCCCCGGCUCAACUGGGGAUGGUCGUUCGAUACUGCUUGGCUCGAAGGUAGGAGAGGGAAGUGGAAUUUCAGGUGUAGUGGUGAAAUGCGUAGAUAUCUGAAGGAACACCAGUGGCGAAGGCGACUUUCUGGCCUAUUCUUGACGCUGAGGCGCGAAAGCUAGGGGAGCGAACGGGAUUAGAUA